GACGAACGCUGGCGGCGUGCUUAACACAUGCAAGUCGAACGGAAAGGCCCUGCUUUUGUGGGGUUCUCGAGUGGCGAACGGGUGAGUAACACGUGAGUAACCUGCCCUUGACUUUGGGAUAACUUCAGGAAACUGGGGCUAAUACCGGAUAGGAGCUCCUGCUGCAUGGUGGGGGUUGGAAAGUUUCGGCGGUUGGGGAUGGACGCGCGGCUUAUCAGCUUGUUGGUGGGGGAGUGGCUUACCAAGGCUUUGACGGGUAGCCGGCCUGAGAGGGUGACCGGCCACAUUGGGACUGCGAGACGGACCAGACUCCUACGGGAGGCAGUAGUGGGGAAUAUUGCACAAUGGGCGGAAGCCUGAUGCAGCAACGUCGCGUGCGGGAUGACGGUCUUCGGGGUGUAAACCGCUUUCGCCUGUUACGAAGCGGGAGUGACGGUAAUGGGUAAAGAAGCACCGGCUAACUACGUG
rnacentral:rRNA from 1 species